rnacentral:rRNA from 1 species
UACGUAGGGCGCAAGCGUUGUCCGGAAUUAUUGGGCGUAAAGAGCUCGUAGGCGGCCAGUUGCGUCUGCUGUGAAAUCCCGGGGCUCAACCCCGGGCGUGCAGUGGAUACGGGCUGGCUAGAGGCAGGCAGGGGAGAACGGAAUUCCCGGUGUAGCGGUGAAAUGCGCAGAUAUCGGGAGGAACACCGGUGGCGAAGGCGGUUCUCUGGGCCUGUACUGACGGCUGAGGAGCGAAAGCGUGGGGAGCGAACAGG